rnacentral:lncRNA from 1 species
AGCCCAAUUGCUAACUACAAGUAGGGUAGUCUGUCCUCAGAGUGCUUGUAAAUGCAUGGCAGGACUGCUACUGGGCCACCUGGGUCCCUGUCAAUGACUUGUGCUUCAGCCUUGGAGGCAGCAGCACCCCGCUUUCAGCAGAGGAUGUCUGUGGGGCUCCAGGUAUGCGGAGUUGCAGGGGUUGCUGGGCCUCAGGGCAGGAUGUAGUCUGCUGGGGACUGGGCUCUCAAAAUGGCGUCUUGCUGUGGCUGCUUAGGGCUCAGGGGAUGUGUGGGACCUAGCGUGAGUUUCCCCCUGGAGCAAUGCCAUCUGUGAUCUCCAGGACGCUCCCUAUGUUAGUCACAGGGCUUGUGUGGGUCGAGGGGCUCUCGUAGGGCUGGGAUUGCAGUAGUCCAUGAUGGGAAUGCAGACCGCUGUGGGUAAGUCAUUUACUCUUUCCUCACACUGGGGAGCCUCUCCAGGCUCCCAGCCAGUCCUGGCAGACUGUCUCUCUUACCGCUUGCGCUCCUUCCUCACCUCAGGUGUUUUCUGUCACUUCUCCGUUAAAUCCAGUGUUCUCUUUUUGGUGGUGUAUUAAACGUGUGAUUAUGCGCUGUUUCACUUCUUGAUGGAGGAGGCAAGGACCAGAUGCCUCUAGUUAGCCAUCUUGGAGCCCCUCCAAGGCCCUACUUGUCAAUAUCAUUACAACAGGGAAUACGUUUUAAUCUAAACUGUGGAGGAAGUGCAUUCAAACCAUAACAUUGUACUUUACAAAAUGAAUAAAUUAAUUUGUGGGAAAAUGGCCUUUUAUCAGAGUUUGAGAUGCGUCCUCUAGAGGAGUCUAGCACCGCUGGGAAAUCAGUCCAGAGGCAUUUCGACAGUUGGGAUAUGAAAAAAAGGAAAAUUUCCUAAAGAAGAUGUCGAUUUCCAAUGCAUUUAAAAACAACCACAAGAAGAAGCCACUGAUUAACAAAGUUAUCUAACAAUGGCAGUGAGGGAGAGCAACACCUUGACAGCGUUUUCAUGGUGUCUCAGAAGGGGAAAGAUUACGGACAGAUGUUUAUAGGAUUUGUGGUCUUGCAUCAAAUGCUUUGAGGCAGCUCUCUGAAGGCCAGGAUUUAUGGGGCUUAGACAAAAUUUAUUAUAUAGCAGUUUAGGAUUGAUGGAUACAGCCAAGGUGAGUGUCUUGAAGCUACCUGAUUCAGUAAACAGUGGUUGCUUAAGCAAGCUGUUUCCCCAGGUGAGCAACCUGUUGUCUGAAUAAAUUGGUUUUCAGGAAUUUCCGGAAGGAAACAGCAAUUUAUUGUUAGACAGAAUUAUUUUCCUGGGCUAGAAUUUCCUGGAACAAAUAGUCAAUUCUUGUUGACGUUUAAGUGGUCUCAGUUUUCAGUAUCGAUGAGUUAACCCACAGGAGGAAGCGGGAGACUCAUUUCUCGGUUCUCUGUGUGAUCAUUCUUCAGCUGUGAUGGAGGAUAGCCAUUACCAUGUGGGGACUUGAUCCAUCUGAAUCUGCACUGUACUUUGUGGUGUGAUCAUGAAUCAGGUUUCCUGGUAGGCAAUUUUCCUGCUUUUUGUCGGAUAGACAUUUGGUUGGAUGAUUUGACAGUGCUAUGGCUGCGCAGCAGCAUUUUUAAGACUGAGUUCAUGCAUUUGAGCGCUGUAACACAGAGUGAUGCUACAGUGAGGAGUCAUGGUGAGACUUCUAUGCCAGGAGCCAAGAGUGUCCAGAUUAAAACAAGAGAACAGAUCCCAUCCCUAAUUUGAAGAGCCAGAGUAGCCAUACUCAGCGGAGGGGGAUUAAUAUCCAAAUUGCCUAAUUUUAGGGUCUCUUUGUUUGCUGCACAAUCUUACAAGAUUAAGCCAGGGUCAGCAAGCAAUUGCCAGCAGGCCAAAUCUGCUCUCUUACCAUCUGUUUUGUAAAUAAAGUUUUAUUGGAACAUAUGGCUAUGCUCUGCUGACCCUAAUGAUAUUUCUAAUUUUUUUUAAGGUGUAAGCUGAAGUUAUUAAUUUGAGACCUUAUUUCCAUUUUUUUGUUUUUGUUUUUGUUUUUGUCUUUUUUAAGACGGAGUCUCACUUUGUCACCCAGGCUGGAGUGCAAUGGCACAAUCUCGGCUCACUGCAACCUGCACCUCCUGUGUUCAAGUGAUUCUCCUGUCUCAGCCUCCCGAGUAGCUGGGAUUAUAGGUGUGCACCACCACGCCGGGCUAAUUUUUGUGUUUUUAGUAGAGACAGGCUUUCACCAUGUUGGCCAGGCUGGUCUUGAACUCCUGACCUCAAGUGAUUCACCUCCCACUCGGCCUUCCAAAGUGCUGGGAUUACAGGCAUGAACCACCACACCUGGUCAAGACCUUGUAUCCUAAUAUUAGACUUUCUCUAUUUUUAAGCAAUUUGUUGACCUUCUUGAAUCUGUGGUUUUCAUAAACUUUGGGAGAUUUUUGGCCAUUAUUUUUUCAAAUAUUUUUUUCCAACAUAUCCCUCAUUUCCUUCAGGGACUGCAAUUUACGCAUUAGUUUGAAGUUGUCCCAUAACUCACUGACACACUUCUGUUUCUCAUUUUGUGUACUUUUUAUCUCUCAAUUCUUAAAGUCACUAGUCUUCUGAAAUUUCCAAUUUGCCUUUAAUUCUACUCAGUGUGUUUUUCAUCUCACAUAAUGUUUUCAUCUCUAAAGUUUGAUUUUUAGUCUUUUUAUAUCUUCCAUGUUUCUGCUUACCAUGUUCAGUCUUUCCUCUGGCUUCUUGAACAUGCGAAGUACAAUUACAGUUCUUCUAAUGUCUUUGCCGAUUCUAUCAUCUUUGUCAUUUCUGGGUUAGUUUCAAAUGACUGAUUUUUCUCUUCAUUAUGGGUCAUAUUUUUGUGGACAGUUUUUGGAUCCUUUUGUAUUUCUAUAAAUACUUUUGAACUUUGUUCUAGAACACACUUAAAAUUACUUGCAAAUAGUUUGACCCUUUAUCUUAAUUUUGUGCUUUGUUAGAUGGUAUUUCUAUAAAUAUUCUUGAACUUUAUUUUGAAACUCAGUUACUUAUAAACAGUUUGAUUCUUUUGGGUCUUAUUUUGAGUUUCAUUAUGUGGUAUCAGAGUAGUAUUUAGUCUAAGUUCUAUGUUACUGCAUGACUGAAGCAAAAAUUCUUCCAAGUAUGCUACUCAAUGCCCAUUUCCUAUAGAAACAGGAAUGAUUCUGAGCCCUGGAUUCUAUACCCCGUAAUCAUUCCAGCUGAUUCUUUCCCCAGUCAUGGGUAGUUUCCUCACAUGCAUAUGCUGACUCAUGCUCAGCUGAAGACCCUGUACAGAUCCCCAGUGUUCUCUCUGCACAGCUGUCUCCUUUCCCAUAUCUUUCCUUGCAAACUCUACUCACUUUGCCCUCCCCAGACUCCACUUAGGGAGAUGGCAGGGUUCCAUCUGGGUUUUCCCUUUCUGUACCACAGUCUUGAUACUCACUCCAGACAGUAAGCUGUGGCGAACAUAAGAUUCAUCUUGUUUCUUGUUUCUCUUGGAUCACUAUUCUUCAUUGCCUGAUGUCUUGAAAAAUCUUUUUAUUUUUCAAUAUUGUGUCUGUUUUUUUUUCCACUGGUUUACUGGAGAGUAAAUCUGGUCCCUGUUUCUUCAUUUUGGCCAGAAGCAGAAAUCUAUUCAUAGUAUUUUUUCAAAAAGCUUCUCUGGUGGUUUUUAUUCACACCCUCAAUAUACAACUGCUGCUAUAAAUUUUCUGUAAGAUAUUAGUAAGUGACCCAGAGCAAAGUUUAUUCUAUAAGAAUGCCAGUUUGAUGAGACCCGCUGAUAUUAUUGUAUCUUUGAGCCAGUUUGAGGACAAAAUUGCCAGGUCUACGGCUGUCUUCUUCCCUGUGAGCUUCUUCUCAUAGACUCACAACAAAUAGGAUAAAAGACAAAAAGAGUAAUGUUACUAGUAAUAAAACAUUUCCACAAAGAAUAAACAUUUUCAAAUCUGAUCAGAUAAUCCAGGAAUUUCUUAAAAGUUUCUUAUUUCUAGGAAGAAAAAUAAACAAUUUAAGAGCUUUAUGGAAAGGACACCGGGACUCAAAUCCAAUGAGAGACUUACCUUAACACUGCAGUGGGGGAGGCUUCCAAAUGGCAAACUUCAGAAGAACACACUGUUUAGGGCUAAGGUUCUUAAACUGCAGGAGCAGAAAUUAUUGAGUGAAUCCUACUGAGGCCCCAGAACUGUUGAUUGCUGACUUUCAAAGAAGACCAUCAGAAUAAACUAUUGAUCAAACAAAGCUAAGUUUAUUAACCUGCAGUAAGAGAGUGCAACACCUUGAAAAAGUCCUUAUAAUUCUCAAAAGGGAGAGGUCACAGGUAGAUAUUUAUAAACAUUAAGGGUCUGAGCUCAAGUGGUUUAAAGUCAGGCCUUUCAAGGAAGAAAUCUGGUGGAAAUUCGGCAAAGUUCAUGAUAUUAUAGUUUAGAAUUGGUGGACAUUGUGAUAAGAGGGUCUUGAAGUCCUGAAAAAUAGAUCUUUGAUAAACAAGUUAUUAGACUUGGAGAGGAAUCUGUUGUCCUGAAAAGGGGUUUAUUUUUUCAAAUGAGCAAUCUAUCAUCUGAAUAAAUUGGUUUUCAGAAAUUUUCUGAAGUAAACAUUGAUGUUAUUUAUUGUACACCGUCUUAUCUUCCUGGACAAGAAUUUUCUUGAACAAAUAGUAAAGUCAUAGUGACACAGAUGGUUUGUUUUCCAUACUGAUAGUUAAGCUAUGAGGAUGCAGGUGGUCUCAGUUAGAGAUAAGAAUGGACCUAUUGAAGAGGAAAGCCUACAGAACUGGGUAUGAUUAGACUUCAUAGGGUCUGGUUAUGAUCUGACCAACAAACUAGCUGGAAGAUUUGAACAAAUGACAUCACCUUUCUGAGCCUCACUGGACUUAACAGCUGGACUGACACUACCUGGGACACCACCACACAGAGCCCAGAGUGAACAGAGUGCAGCUCUUCACCCAGAGCUAUGCCCCUCUACCCUUUGUAUAAUUCCUGGUUCAUGGGACGGUAACAGAUUUGAGGUCUGUCAUACCUGGGCAUCAGAAUGAAAAGUUGCCUCCUGGUAGGUGAGUUGCCUCUAUUGAAUGUUGCUGCAGUCUGAAUGUUUGUGUCUACCCAAAAUUCAUAUUUUGAAAUCCUAAACCCUAAGGUGAUGGGGCUUUUUGAUAGGUGAUUAGGUCAUGAGGGUUGAGUCCUCAUGAUCGGGAUUAGUGUCCUUAUAAAUCAGGCACAGAAAGUGACCUUGCUGCUUUCACUGUGUAGGGAUGGGACCACACCAGACAGUGAAUCUGCUGGCAGCAUGAUCUCGGACUUCUCAGCCUCCAGAACUGUGAGAAAUAAAUGUUCGUUGUUUAUAAACCACCCAGUUUAUGGUAUUUUUGUUAAAGCAGCCUAAAUGAACUAAGACAAAUGUUUAUAUAACUUGGGUUUUCCAAGGCCUCACCACAUUGUAAGUAGAAAUAGGGUUACGUUAACAGUAACAACUAAACUUUAGUGGUUCUUGCCACUAGCAAGGCAAGCAAGACCCUACUACCUGGGGAGAAGGGAGUCUCGCAAGGGCUCCUUGCAUAUGUGCACAUACACAAGUCAAGGCCACUGCUGCUUCUGCUACCCCUUCUCAGUGCUAUUGCUCCUAUCCAGCGUCUGCUGGGAACCCCUCUCCCAGAAGGUCUAAGAGGAACUGCCUGGUGUCCCAGGUAUCUCCUGAGAAAGGGACCACUGUUGUGCUGGCUCCCUCAGGGAGCUAGAGCUGCCCAGAGGUCUCUGGGGACAGGGAAAUUGGCUCUCCCCAUUUUGUGUUAUAAUCAGUUGAAUGAUCCCUAUGGUAUCCUUGAAUUCCUUUGUGUUAUAGAGUUUAGUAAAACAACACUUUCAAUUGAUCCUCCCAGUUAGAGGUAUAUUGAAUACACAUUUUGGCCAUAUAUGGAAAGGCGUAGUUUGGCAUAAGCUGAGGCUAAAGAUAAAUAUCAGCAUCAUAGAGUACACUUAUGGAAUGUGAAUACAUCUGAAAUUUUAUUUUAAAAUUGAUGAUUAUACUAUACAAUUCCAUUUAUAUAAACUUCUCAAAAGAUGAAACAAUUGGGAUGGAGAACUAGUAGCUGUUCCUAGUGUCAUGGAGUAGGGUAUUAUGAGGAAGCUUUUUAGGUGGUGAAACUGAUCCAGAUGGUGAUCCUACUGGUGGUUACAUGAACAAUGUUUGUGUUAAAAUUUACAGAACUGUAACUGUCUAAUGGGUUCUUCUUGCCUGCUGCUCAGAUAAAGCUGAUUUAUCAAGAUAGGGCAAUUGCAGUAGAGAAAGAGUUUAAUACAAAUAGAGCCAGCUAAACAGGAGACCAGAGUUUUAUUAUUACCCAAAUCAGCCUCCCUGAAAAUUUGGAGGCUAGAGUUUUUCAAGAGUAAUUUGGUGGGCAAAGGAAUGGGUGCUGCUGAUUGGUUGGGGAUGCAAUCAUAUGGGUGUGGAAAAUGGUCCUCGUGUGCCCUGAGUCAGCUUCCAGUAAGGGUCCACAGAGGAGUCACUGGUUCAGGACACUGGGUCAUCAGAAAUGCAAAAGCCUGACAAGACAUCUCAAAAGGUCAACUUUAGGUUCUACAAUAGUAAUUUUAGGUUCUACAAUAGUAACGUUAUUUACAGGAGUAAUUGAGGAAGUUGAAAAUCUUGUGACCUCUGGAAUAAUGGCUGGUAAUCACUUAACUAUGCCUAUAUCUUAGCAGAAUUCAGGCCCUCCUAUCUUCGUAAACUGGUGGCCUUUCAUUAGUUUUACAAAGGCAGUUUAGUUUUGGAAAGAGCUAUUAUCAUUUAAACUAUAACCUAAAUUUCUCCCAAAGUUAGCUUAGGCCAUGCCCAGGAAUGAAGGGCAGUUUGGAGGUUAAAGGCAAUGUGGAGUUGGUUAGGUCAAAUUUCUUUCACUGUCAAAGUUUUCUCAGUGUUGCAAUUUUUGCAAAGGUGGUUUCAGAACUGUACAUCAAAAGGAAAAAAAAUCAAUUUUACUGUAUGAUAAUUUUAACAAUAAUAUAAAUUAAUGAUUAGUGCAGGUUUUUUUUUUAAGUUGUAUAAAAUUUUUAUAGUUUGACAUGAUAGUGACUCAGAAUUUUCAGCUGCCAGAUUCCUUUUGUGGUCACCAUCGCAUGUUUCUGAUACAGAUUGAAUAUCCCUUGUCCUAAAUGCUUGGAACUGGAAGUGUUUUGGAUUUCAUUUUUUUGAAAUAUUUUGGGAUAUACACAAUGAGAUAUCUCACUGAUGAGAACUGUCUAAACACAGAAUUCUUUUCUAUUUCAUAUACACCUUUUACACUGACAACUGAAAUGAGUAAUUGAAGCAUAAGUUUCAAAGCAUCAAGCUUUGUUGAGCCAGCUUGAAGGCAUACCUGGGAAAAUAGAGAGUCACAGAAGCAUGUGUGACUGUUUUUUCCAAAGAGGUUCUUAGGAGGUUUAGUAUUUAUAUAUUUUCCUUAAAAGGCAGGGGAGGUGGUGGGGCAGCAGUGAGACAAAUGAUUACAUACUUGUAAAACUUUAGUUAGUGCCUGGUAAAUCUACAUCUUACAUAAAAUAAGGUGAACAUAAUGAAUCUCAUCUGGACUGUUACGUAUCUGGGAAGAUAAGCUAGUAGUCUUUUGGAAAGGCUGGUUUCUGUUUAGCUGUUAAGGAAGAAAACCUAACGACUGUUAGCGAGGGUGGGGAUAUAAUGAGGCAUAUGCCAAAUCUCCCAUCCCAUCAUAGCCAUGAAUUCAGCUUCCAAGGUUUUGCUGGGGUUCCCUUGGCCAAGAGAGAAUCCGCUGGGUCAGUCGGAGGGACUUAGAGUUUUAUUUUUAUUUCCUAACAAAUAGCCUGAAGAUAAUUUUAUACAUAUUUUAAAAUAGUUUUGUUCAUGAAGCAAAGUUUUGAUUGGUACCCAUCACAUGAGAUCAGGUGUAAAAUUUUCUACUUGUGGCAUCAUGUUGGCAUUGAAAAAGUUUCAGAUUUUGGAGCAUUUCAGAUUUCAGAUUUUCAGAUUAGGGAUGUUCAACCUGUACUAAGGAGUUACUGGCUUUCGAAUGGCAUGUUUAAUAAUUUCACCUUCUGGGGAAUAACACAGCCAAAUACAAAUCAGGAAAAUGUCUUUCAGUAAUUUGUUUUCUAGAAGAAACUUUGCAUGCAUUUACAUAGCUUAGAUAAAUGAGAAACUCCGAAGCUUCAACUAUUGAAAAUAUUUGCUAGCUUGUAAAAAUCAAUUUAAUAUUAGAAUAGUCUCUAUAAAUUCAAAAUAAGAAAUUGUCUUCUGUGUUCUGAAGUUUGAUUUGUGAAUAAAAUGCAUGUCAGAACUCAGCUAAAAUACAUUCAUUUUUUUCUAUCAAAUUUUACUUAUCUUUUUGGUGUAUAUGAUUUCAGAUACAUUUCUCUCCAUGAAAUUUUGAAAUGUCAGAUGGCAUUCUGCUUUUAAUUCAGCCUCAUAUAAUGCAAAAAAUAAGACUUAUGACUUACUGGAAUUAAAUAAUUAAAAAUAUCAUUCUUUAAGCUUACUUUUUGAGUAUUGUGAAUGCAAUUAUACCAAAACAAUUCUACAAAGAUUCUAAUUAUGAAGUAAUCUAAUAUCAUCAUAGUAAUUAAAUCUAUAUAAGCUUUUGUUGACUCAAUACAAUUAUAUUAUUUUCUACAUUAGUUAUCUAGCUAAUCCUCUUAAUAUUCCUACUGCCAAUCAAGCUCCCAAAUUUAAUUACUUAAACAUUUUAUUAAUAGCUUUUUUUUUUAACAUAAAUUAACAGCUCUCAUAAACAUUAUUUGUUGGAAUAUCUUAUUUUGGGGAUAAGCCGUAUACAUUUCUUCCUCAGCUGACUGGUAGAAUUUCAACAUAUAAAGCACCUAAGAAGAUUUCACUCCAAGUUAGAAUGCUUACAUAUGUUUGAAAGGCAAUGUAGAGAUAUUAACAAUAUCUUUAAUGGCAUGCCUUCUUUAAGUAGCUGUUGUUGUUACACUGAUUAGAUAUGUAAUCAUAUGAUCACAGGGAUGCCAGAAAGAAUGAUGAAGUGGGCUCUCUGAAGGCUGAAGCAGAAAGACUGAUUAUUGCCAAAUGCUGAACCAAAACCAAGUCUGUGCAGUCCUACUUACAAGCUUUUCUAUCAACAACAUGGGCACCUACUUCCUGUUGACAAAGUCUGAAAAAGAAAAAACAAAACAAAAUACACCCACACAGUCAUGAAUCAAUUGAGCUGGGUAGAGCCGUGUCUAAAAAACAGAAGAUACCAUGCUGUAUUGAGAAGUACUUCUCCUUCUGACUCUGGCUUAAUUACUGAAUCCUGCCAGGUUCUCUUUUUCUUUUUCUCUUUUCUUUCUUUCUUUUUUUUUUUUUUUUUUUUUAGACUGAGUUUUGCUCUUGUUGCCCAGGCUGGACUGCAAUGGCGCGAUCUUGGCUCACAGCAACCUCCGCCUCAGCCUCCCGAGUAGAUGGGAUUACAGGCGCCUGCCACUAUGCCUGGCUAAUUUUUGUAUUUUUUUUUUUUUUUUUUUUUUUUUUUUAAGAGACAGAGUUUUACCAUGUUGGCCAAGCUGGUCCUGAACUCCUGACCUCAGGUAAUCCACUGGCCUCGGCCUCCCAAAGUGCUGGGAUUACAGGUAUGAGCCUCCGCACCCAGCCAUGGUUCCGUCUUUUUCUAAGUCCUCAUGACUUGAUUGUGCACAGGCCCACCGUUCCAACCUUCCAUGCUAUCAUAUAUUCCUGAGUGUAUCUAAGUUCCUGUUAGCCUUCUGCUACAUGUAUAUACAUAUACAUAUUAUUUUUUAGUACCUGCUAAAUAACAGGCACUAUGUAUGCUAAAAAAGAGAGUGUAUAUCUAUCUAUAUUCAUAUGUGUGUAUAUAUUUCUAAUAAAUUUCUAAUAUAAUUUUAUGAGGGACUUCCACUUAAACAUGGGGAUUGAAUGUACAUAUUUUUCUAUUUCUCCACAAAAACGACAGCAAAAGAAUUUUUUAAAAUGGCAUAAGCUUGCAAGGACAAAGGCAAUGGAAAAGAAGCUGACACACAACAUUUCAGAAACUGGAAGCAGCCAGGUAGGUCAUAAUUGACUUGGGAACAGAGUGAGCAGAAACCUAAGGCAAGUAAGGGAAAUGCAUCAGUAAGCUAAUUUACUCCAUAGAAUUCCAGGAAGACUUGGAAAAUUGAGGAUCCAGGGACUUAUGGAAGUGGGGACACUGGUGGGUUUCAAAAACAGGAGGGUCAGUUGAAAAUUUAUAAAUAAAGCAGUUAAAAUAUUUUCACCCACCUCAUGUCAUUGGAUGACUACCUUUCACUCACGCCGGUUCUAAACAUACACCCUCUGGAGAGGCUGAUUCCAAAGGGAUUCAGGACUCAGAUGUGGCAACCAUUGCUGAGAAAAAGGCUACAAUAUUAGAACCAGACUACCAUAUUAGAACCAAGUACAUAUUCUGCAUUGAGAAACCCCAGCUCCUUCUCAUACUCAGCUGGUAGAAUUAUGGCACCAAAGAGAUUGGAGUAAGAUCACCAGGAAAACCAACAAUCCAAGAAAAAAAAUCUAAAAACGGCAACAGGUUUUUGGAUGUCCUUCAGUGAAAUGUCCAAGCAAGAAUAUCCCCAUGAAGCUUUCCAGUCAACAAACCUUGUACACACACAGGAUUUUCACUUGGCUUUCUAAUGUCUAACUCUUCAAUACGAACUGACUGCCAAGGAUUAUCAGACAAUGUGAGGAAAACCUCUCGCAUAAAAGACCAAAAAACAGAAAAGAAACUAAGAUGACACAAGAACUGUGAGGUGAGCAACAGAAAGUCUAAAGCAAAUUCUAAUAAAUACCAGAAGGUAACACAUCCAUGAAAUGGAUGGAAAUGAGCCAUGUAAGAAUUUGACUUGUAAACAAUGUAACUAUAUUACUCCUACAAAUUUAUUUCUUUAAUUUAAAAAACGAAUUAGUAAAUAAAACAGCCAUGUGUAAUGACUCUUACAAGAAAGAAAAUUGGAGCUCAGAUUAAAGAAUAUGCCCAGAGUGACACAUUUGAAGCUGGGUGUGUCUCAUUGCAGGUCCAGACAUUUCCAGAUUUCUCCUGGAGUCCAAGGGGCAUGUCAGUGGACCCCGGAUGUUUCAAGCAGUAUCUUGGAUUGCUCUUGGGAAAAAUCUCUCUACAUUCUUCACCCUUAGGUUACUGUCACCCUUCAUUACUACUACAAAUCUUCCUCAAGACAAGUUUCAGGCUGGGGAUAUACAUUGAAGAACUUCAACUCUUUCUUAAGUUCUUAAGUGAGAGAGCAAUCUCAUCAGCAUAUUUUUUGAAAGCCACUGCUCAGAUCAAAAGCAGGCCUGGGAAUGAUUCAGGAAGAAACACUUGGCUCUUGUACCAUGAGACCUGAACCUGGAAUUUCUCUUGAGGUCUUCCUUGAUGGACGGAACGCUUUUAUUCUUCUUAUUCAAGAAAACGAGUUCACAUAGGUCAUGGUACUAGUAACCUUAGCAUAACAAGAAGGAAGGAUGGAAUUAUAAAAUGCUCUUGGGUAUGUUUUUUCUUCUCCUUCAUCCUGAAUAACCCUAGGGCUAUGUGGGGAGAGAGGAGACUACAUUCUCAACAGUGAGACCUAGUUCCUGUCAAGGUAAGUUUGUGUUUUGAAACUAGCUGCUUGUUAGCAUAUGCGUAAAUUAUAGAAAAAAGGAAAAUGUUCACAGGAGUCAAACUUGUUCUCCUCUUCCUCUUCUUCGUAAGUUCUAGAGCUGACAAACACUGGGGUAUACUGCAAUAAACCAUGUUCCAAUUCCUAUAAAAAAUACUAAUUAUUGUCAGAAUUAUUUCAUGAAUCCUGAACACAUUUGAUGCUCAUUGACUUCAAGAAAAGGGACGAGACUGGCUGCUACAAGAAGGCAUCUACAAAACAUUUGAGAAUGCCAGGAGUGCAAAGAAUGAAUUGCUAGGAUUUUCUGUGUUCACCCCUAUUCAACUAGCCUUAAACAUGGGAAUAAAAAUGUUUUAAGUACACGUACAUGAACAUGUAUAUAUGUGUAUGCAUAUCAGAGGCUUGGUCAAAACUCAGCCAACAUAGGCUAGAAACUGCUUUGCCACUCUUGGAAGCCACAGAUUUGCUGUUUUAACUUCUCUGCACUUAUAUUUCUAACUUGUAAAAUAAAAAUAGAUCACCUAAGAGAGAAGGCUGGAAUUCAACACGGAAGUGACACCUAGCAUGAAAAACAAGAGGAAAGUGAAGUAGCCUGCUCAGCUGGGAUUAGCAGGGAGUCUGGAGGGGCUCCCUAAUGUGAGGAAAGAGUAGGUGAGUAGCCCCCAGUGGCCCACCUUCCUACCAUGGACUCCUGCAAUCCUAGCCACUGGAGAGUCCUUUGACCCACACAAGCCCUGAGAAAAAAGGAAAAACGUUCACAGGAGUCAAACUUGUUCUCCUCUUCCUCUUCUUCGUAAGUUCUAGAGCUGACAAACACUGCGGUAUACUGCAAUAAACCAUGUUCCAAUUCCUAUAAAAAAUACUAAUUAUUGUCAGAAUUAUUUCAUGAAUCCUGAACACAUUUGAUGCUCAUUGACUUCAAGAAAAGGGACGAGACUGGCUGCUACAAGAAGGCAUCUACAAAACAUUUGAGAAUGCCAGGAGCGCAAAGAAUGAAUUGCUAGGACAUAGGGCACUGGCUGGAGACCCCAUGAUGGCAUUGCUUCAUAUGGGGAGCUCACACUGGGUCACCCCACCCACCCUCCCUCUUACCCCACUCUUAAGGCACUCCAGCAAGGUACCAUUUUGAAAGCCCAGCAGACUGCAUCCUACCCUGGGACCCCACAGACCUUGCAACUCCAGAUUCCUUGAGCCCCAUUGACCUCCCCCUAACGCAGACCCUGCUGCUGCUGGCUGCUGCCUCCAUAUCCAAUGUGGGGGCCACUGGAAGCUACCCACCAUCCCCAUCAGCAGGGUACCGUACAUUUAGAAGCACCCUGAGAACAGGCUACCCCACCAGCAACUACCACCUGGGGCCAAAGUGUGUGCUCCCAGUGGCCCUCCUAAGGCUUCUGCCAAUGAAAGCAACCCCAGCAACAUGGCUAGGGUGUAGCUGCUGGUCCUCCCAUCCAAGCAUUCCACUGAGGGCCUGGAAAUCACCAUGCCCCUGCCUACCAUAGCUAGUGCCUAUAUAUACCAUCGGGGGGCCUGAGGCUCACCUCUGUCUCCCUUCUCCCUAGUGCCCAUGCAGGGGCCUGGGGAUUGCUCAGCCCCAUCUAUUCCUGUUGGCGCCUGAGCACUCAUCCUGAAGGCCUGGAGAUGGGUUCACCCAACCUGCCACUACCAUCACAGCCAGCAUACACCCCCCACCCACAGACAUGAACCACCUGUGGGCCUGGGAAAUGGCCUGCAGCCACCUUGAAAAUCAGUUGGGACUACUUGGGUACCAGAGGAUUGUCCUGCCACUGCAACUGCCAUCACCCACACCAUGCCUGAUGCCCAGGGCCUAUGGACCUGCCCAUCCACCUGGCCCACAGCUGCCAUUGCCAGCACCUCAGCAAGCUGACUGGAAGCCCCCAGAUCAGCCCGCCUGGACACACUAACACUGAUGCCAGCAUAUACCACAUUUACCACCAACUGAUUUUCUAUAAAGGUGCCAAGUAUAUACACUGAGGAAAGGACACUUUCUUCACUAAAUGGAAUAGAAAAAACUGGAUAUCCAUAUGCAGAAGAAUGAAACUGGACCCAUCUCUCACCCUGUACAAAAAUCAACUCAAAUCAGUUAAGGACUUAAACAUAAGACCCAAAAUUAUGAACUACUACAAGAAAACAUAGGGAAAACAAUUCAGGACAUCAGUCUGACCAAAGAUUUUAUAGCUAAGAUCUCUAGAUCACAGGCACCAAAAAGAAAAAUAGACAAAUGGGACUAUAUUAAACUAAAAAUUCUUCUACACAAGAAACCAACAGACUGAAGAUACAGCUUGUUGAAUGGGAGAAAAUAUUUACAAGAUAUUUAUCCAACAAGGGACUAGUAUCCAGAAUAUACAAGGAACUCAAACAACUCAACAGUAAAAGACCACAAAUCAUCCUACUAAAAAGUGGGUAAAGGGCCAGGUGCAGUGGCUUACACCUGUAAUCCCAGCACUGUGGGAGGCUGAGGCAGGUGGAUCACUUGAAACCAGAAGUUUGAGACCAGCCUGGCCAACAUGGUGAAACCCCGUCUCUACUAAAAUACAAAAAUUAGCUGGGCAUGGUGGUGGGCGCCUGUAAUCCCAGCCACUGGGGAGGGGAGGCAGGAGAAUUGCUUGAGCCUAGGAGGCAGAAGUUGCUGUGAGCCACGAUUUCACCACUGCACUCCAGUUUGAGCAACAGAAUGAGACUCUGCCUAAGAAGAAAAAUGGGCAAAGGACAUGAAUAGAUAUUUCUCAAAAAAAGACAAAUGGGCAUAUUAAAAAAUGCUCAACAUCAGUAAUCAUCGGGAAACUGCAAAUUAAAAUCACAAUGAGAUAGCAUCAUACUCCAGUUAAAAUGACUAUUACUAAAAAGACAAAAGUCUGAUGCCUGUAGUCUCAGCUACGCAUGAGGCUGAGGCAGGAGUAUUGCUUAAGGCUAGGAGUUCAAGGCUGCAGUGCAUCCUGAUUGCACCUGUGAAUCACCACUGUUCUUCAGCCUGGGAAACAGGCAACAGAGCAAGACCCUGUCAAAGAAGGAGAAGGAGAAGAUGAAGACGAAAUAUAGAUGCUGGUGAGGAUGCAGAAAAAAGGGAAUUCUUGUUGGUGGGAGUUGGUGGGAAUGUAAACUAGUACAGCCAUUUUGGAAAACAGUAUGGAGAUUUCUCAAAAAACUAAAAACAGCUACCAUACAGUCCAGUAAUCUAACUAGUAUUUAUCCAAAGGAAAGGAAAUUAAUAUAUCAAAGGAAUACCUGCAGCCCAUGUUUAUUGCAGCACCAUUCACAAUUGCAAAGAUAAGGAAUCAACGUAAGUAUCCAUCAUGGAUGAAUGGUUAAAGAAUAUAUAUAUAUACACAAUGGAAUACUAUUCAGCCAUAAACAAGACUAACAUGAUGGCAUUUACAGCAACUUGGAUAGAACUGAAGGGUCAUUAUCUUAAGUGACAUAAGCCAGUCACAGAAAGAAGAAUAUCACAUGUUCUCACUCAUAUGUAAGAGCUAAAAAAGUGGAUCUUAUGGAAGUAGAGAAUAGAAUGAUAGACACCAGAGGAUUGGAAGGGUGUGUGGGUGGUGGGGGGUGAAUGAAGUAGAGGUUGGUUAAUGGGUACAAACACACAGAAGGAAAAAAUUCUAAUAUGCAAUAACAGAGUAGGGUGACUAUAGUAUAGUAUUAUAUGUUUCAAACUUACUAUAAAAGAGGACUUAAGAUGUUCUCAACAUAUAGGUAUAAUCAAUAAUGGAGGUGAUGAAUAGCCCAAAUAGCCUGACUUGAUCAUUACAUGUUCUGUGCAUGUAACAAAAUACUACAUGUAUCCCAUAAAUAUGUACAAAUAUGUCUCCAAAAAAUCAAAUUUUUGUACUGAGUAAUACAGGGAUGGUAAAUACAUUUUGAAAGGUAAUUUGGGCAAGUUAUUAAUACCUCAGCCUAGGAAUUUUGAAAAAUGUAUUCUAAAUACAUGAAAGAAUAGAGAAGUCUGGAAUAACUUAGAUUCGUAGUGUCAUACCAGAAAACUUGGGAACAUUCAAAGACAAAUGAAUGUAAUAAGAAUAAUAGAAUGAAAACAAACAGGUAUUAUUUUCAAUGUCUUUUAAAGUGGCCUUAAAAAAACCCAAAUGCCAUUGCUGGUGAGAGAAGUGAAGAGAGAAUGAAAAAAAAAAGAUAAUUCUUAGCAAGUAAAUUGAAGUUUUAAAUAAAUAACAAUGUAGAGCUGUUUGAGUUUUUAUUAUACUUUAAGUUCUGAGAUACAUGUGCAGAACGUGCAGGUUUGUUACAUAGGUAUACACAUGCCAUGGUGGUUUGCUACACACAUCAACCCAUCAUCUAUAUUAGGUAUUUCUCCUUAAUGCUAUCCCUCCCACAGCCCCCCACCCCUCGACAGUCCCCAGUGUGUGAUGUUCCCCUCCCUGUGUCCAUGUGUUCUCAUUGUUCAACUCCCACAUAUGAGUGAGAAUAUGCAGUGUUUGGUUUUCUGUUCUUGUGUUUGCUGAGAAUGAUGGUUUCCAGCUUCAUCCAUGUCCCUGCAAAGGACAUGAACUCAUCCUUUUUAUGGCUGCAUAGUAUUCCAUGGUGUAUAUGUGCCACAUUUUCUUUAUCCAGUCUAUCCUUGGUGGGCAUUUGUGUUGGUUCCAAGUCUUUGCUAUUGUGAACAGUGCUGCAAUAAACAUACGUGUGCAUGUGUCUUUAUAGUUGAAUGAUUUAUAAUCCUUUGGGUAUAUACCCAGUUAUGGGAUUGCUGGGUCAAAUGGUAUUUCUUGUUCUAGAUCCUUGAGGAAUUGCCACACUGUCUUGCACAAUGGUUUAACUAAUUUACACUCCCACCAACAGUGUAAAAGUGUUCCUGUUUCUCCACAUCCUCUCCAGCAUCUGUUGUUUCCUGACUUUUUAAUGAUCAUUAUUCUAACUGGCAUGAGAUGGUAUCUCGUUGUGGUUUUGAUUUGCAUUUCUCUAAUGACCAGUGAUGAAGAGCUUUUUUUCAUAUGUUUGUUGGCUCCAUAAAUGUCUUCUUUGAGAAGUGUCUGUUUUUAUCCUUCACCCACUUUUUGAUGAGGUUGUUUUUUACCUUGCAAACUUGUUUAAUUUCUUUGUAGAUUCUGGAUAGUAGCCCUUUGUCAGGUGAAUAGAUUGCAAAACUUUUCUCCCACUGUAGGUUGCCUGUUCACUCUGAUGAUAGUUUCUUUUGCUGUGCAGAAGCUCUUUAGUUUAAUUAGAUCCCAUUUGUAAAUUUUGGCUUUUGUUGCCAUUGCUUUUGGUGUUUUAGUCAUGAAAUCUUUGCCCAUGCCUAUGUCCUGAAUGGUAUUGCCUAGGUUUUCUUCUAGAGUUUUUAUGGUUUUAGGUCUUACAUUUAAGUCUUUAAUCCAUCCUGAGUUAAUUUUUGCAUAAGGUAUAAGGAAGGUGUCCAUUUUCAGUUUUCUGCAUAUGACUAGCCAGUUUUCCUAACACCAUUUAUUAAAUAGGGAAUCCUUUCCCCAUUGCUUGUUUUUCUCAGGUUUGUGAAAGAUCAGAUGGUUGUAGAUGGGUGGUGUGAUUUCUGAGGCCUCUGUUCUGUUCCAUUGGUCUAUAUCUCUGUUUUGGUACCAGUAUCAUGCUAUAUUUGUUACUGUAGCCUUGUAGUAUAGUUUGAAGUCAGGUAAUGUGAUGCCUCCAGCUUUAAUUUUUUUUGCUUAGGAUUUUCUUGGCUAUACAGACUCUUUUUUGGUUCCAUAUGAAGUUUAAAGUAGUUUUUUCUAAUUCUGUGAAGAAAGUCAACGGUAGCUUGAUGGGGAUAGCAUUGAAUCUAUAAAUAACUUUGGGCAGUAUGGCCAUUUUGCCAUUUUCAUGAUAUUGAUUCGUCCUAUCCAUGAGUAUGGAAUGCUUUUCCAUUUGUGUCCUCUCUUAUUUCCUUGAGCAGUGGUUUGUAGUUCUCCUUGAGGAGGUCCUUCACAUCCCUUGUAAGUUGUAUUCCUAGGUAUUUUAUUCUCUUCGUAGCAAUUAUGAAUGAGAGUUCACACAUGAUUUGGCUGUUUGUCUGUUACUGGUGUAUAGGGAUGUUUGUGAUUUUUGCACAUUGAUUUUGUAUCCUGAGACUUUGCUGAAGUUGCUUAUCAGCUUAAGGAGAUUUUGGGCUGAGAUGAUGAGUUUUCUAAAUAUACAAUCAUGUCAUCUGCAAACAGAGACAAUAUGACUUCCUCUCUUCCUAUCUGAAUACCCUUUAUUUCUUUCUCUUGCCUGAUUGCCCUGGCCAGAACUUCCAAUACUGUGUUGAAUAGGAAUAGAGAGAGAGGGUAUCCUUGUCUUGUUCUGGUUUUCAAAGGGAAAGCUUCCAGCUUUUGCCCAUUCAGUAUGACAUUGGCUGUGGGUUUGUCAUAAAUAGCUCUUAUUAUUUUGAGAUACCUUCCAUCAAUACCUAGUUUAUUGAGAGUUUUUAGCGUGAAGGGGUGUUGAAUUUUAUCGAAGGCUUUUUCUGCAUCUGUUGAGAUAAUCAUGCGGUUUUUGUCAUUGGUUCUGUUUAUAUGAUGGAUUAUGUUUAUUGAUUUGCAUAUGUUGAACUAGCCUUGCAUCCCAGAGAUGAAGCCUACUUGAUCAUGGUGGAUAAGGUUUUUGAUGUGCUGCUGGAUUUGGUUUGCCAGUAUUUUAUUGAGGAUUUUCGCAUCAAUGUUCACCAGGGAUAUUGGCCUGAAAUUUUCUUUUGUGUGUGUGUGUGUGUCUCUGCCAGGUUGUGGUAUCAGGAAGAUGCUGGCCUCAUAAAUUGAGUUAGGUAGGAGUCCCUCUUUUUCUAUUGUUUGGAAUAGUUUCAGAAGGAAUGGUACCAGCUCUUUGUACCUCAAGUAGAAUUCUGUUGUGAAUCUGUUUGGUCCUGGACUUUUUCUGGUUGGUAGGCUAUUAAUUGCUGUCUCAAUUUCAGAACUUGUUAUUGGUCUCUUCAGGGAUUCAACUUCUUCCUGAUUUAGAUUUGGGAGGGUGUAUGUAUGUGUCCAGGAAUUUAUCCAUUUCUUUUAGAUUUUCUAAUUUAUUUGCAGAGAGGUGUUUAUAGUAUUCUCUGAUGGUAGUUUAUAUUUCUGUGGGACCAGUGGUGAUAUCCCCUUUAUCAUUUUUUAUUGUGUCUAUUUGAUUCUUCUCUGUUUUCUUCUUUAUUAGUCUGGCUAGUGGUCUAUUUUGUUGAUCUUUUCAAAAAACCAGCUCGUGGGUUCAUUGAUUUUUUUUUUUUGAAGGAUUUUUCGUGUCUCCGUUUACUUCAGUUCUGCUCUGAUCUUAGUUAUUUCUUGUCUUCUGUUAGCUUUUGAAUGUGUUUGCUCUCGCUUCUCUAGUUCUUUUCAUUGUGAUGUUAGGGUGUCGAUUUUAGAUCUUUCCUGCUUUCUCUUGUGGCCAUUCAGUGCUAUAAAUUUCCCUUUAAACACUAUUUUGGGUAUGUACCAGAGAUUCUGGUAUGUUGUGCCUUUGUUCUCAUUGGUUUCAAAGAACUUAUUUUCUGCCUUAAUUUUAUUAUUUACCCAGUAGUCAUUCAGGAGUAGGUUGUUCAAUUUCCAUGUAGUUGUGCAGUUUUGGGUCAGUUUCUUAAUCCUGAGUUCUAAUUUGAUGCACUGUGGUUUGAGAUACUGUUUGUUAUGAUUUCCAUUCUUUUGCAUUUGCUGAGGAGUAUUUUACUUCCAAUUCUGUUGGUCAAUUUUAGAAUAAGUGUGAUGUGGUGCUGAGAAGAAUGUAUAUUCUAUGAAUUUGGGGUGGAGAGUUCUGUAGAUGUCUAUUAGGUCUGCUUGGUCCAGAACUGAGUUCAAGUCCUGAAUAUCCUUAUUAAUUUUCUGUCCCAUUGAUCUGUCUAAUAUUGACAGUGGGUCGUUAAAGUCUCCCACUAUUAUUGUAUGGGAGUUGAAGUCUCUUUGUGGGUCUCUAAUAACUUGCCUUUUGAAUCUGGGUGGUCCUGUAUUGGGUGCAUAUAUAUUUAGGAGAGUUAGCAUAGUUAGCUCUUUUUGUUGCAUCAAUCCCUUUACCAUUAUGUAAAGCCCUUCUUUGUCUUUUUUGAUCUUUGUUGGUUUAAAGUCUGUUUUAUCAGAUAUUAGGAUUGCAACCCCUGCUUUUUUUGCUUUCCAUUUACUUGGUAAAUAUUCCUCCAAUCCUUUAUUUUGAGUCUAUGUGUGUCUUUGCACGUGAGAUCGGUCUCCUGAAUACAGCACACCGUUGCUUCUUGACUCUAUCUAAUUUGCCAGUCUGUUUCUUUUAAUUGGGGCAUUUAGUCCAUUUACAUGUAAGGUUAAUAUUGUUAUGUGUGAAUUUGAUUCUGUCAUUAUGAUGCUAGCUGGUUAUUUUGCCUGUUGAUGCAGUUUCUUCAUAGUGUUGAUGGUCUUUACAAUUUGGUAUGUUUUUGCAGUGGCUGGUACUGGUUUUUCCUUUCCAUGUUUAGUGCUUCCUUUAGGAGCUCUUGUAAGGCAAGCCUGGUGGUGACAAAAUCUCUCAGCAUUUGCUUGUCUGUAAAGGAUUUUAUUUCUUCUUCACUUUUGAAGCUUAGUUUGGCUGGAUAUGAAAUUCUGGGUUGAAAAUUCUUUUCUUUAAGAAAGUUGAAUAUUGGCCCCCACUCUCUUCUGUCUUGUAGGGUUUCUGCAGAGAGAUCCACUGUUAGUCUGAUGGGCUUUCCUUUGUGGGUAACCUAACCUUUCUCUCUGGUUGCCCUUAACAUUUUUUUCUUCAUUUCAACAUUGGUGAAUGUGACGAUUAUGUGUCUUAGGGUUGCUCUUCUCAAGGAGUAUCUUUGUGGUGUUCUCUGAAUUUCCUGAAUUUGAAUGUUGGCCUGACUUGCUAGGUUGUGGAAGUUCUCUUGGAUAAUAUCCUGAAGAGUGUUUUCCAACUUUUGGUUCCAUUCUCCCCAUCACUUUUAGGUACACCAGUCAAAUGUAGGUUUGUUCUUUUCGCAUAGUCUCAUAUUUCUUGGAGGCUUUGUUUCCUUUCCUUCUUUUUUCUCUAAUCUUGUCUUCAUGCUUUAUUUCAGUAAGUUGAUCUUCAAUCUCUGAUAUCCUUUCUUUGGUUUGAUCUAUUUGGCUAUUGAUACUUGCAUAUGCUUCACAAAGUUCCCAUGCUGUGUUUUUCAGCUCCAUCAGGUCAUUUAUGUUCUUCUUUAAACUGGUUAUUCCAGUUAGCAAUUCAUCUAACCUUUUUUCAACGUUCUUGGCUUCCUUGCAUUGGGUUAGAACAUGCUCCUUUAGCUCAGAGGAGUUUGUUAUUACCCACCUUCUAAAGCCUACUUCUAUCAAUUCGUCAAACUCAUUCUCCAUCCAGUUUUGUUCCCUUGCUGUUGAGGAGUUCUGUUCCUUUGGAGGAGAAGAGGCAUUCUGGUUUUUGGAAUUUUCAGCCUUUGUGCAUUGAUUUUUUUCUCAUCUUCAUGGAUUUAUCUACCUUGGGUCUUUGAUGUUGGUAAGCUUCGAAUGGAGUUUUUGUGUGGACAUCCUUUUGGUUGAUGUCAUUGCUGUUCCUUUCUGUUUGUUAGUUUUGCUUCUAACAGUCAGGCCCCUCUUCUGCAGGUCUGCUGGAGUUUGCUGGAGGCCCACUCCAGACCCUGUUUACCUAUAUCACCAGCGGAGGCUGCAGAACAGCAAAAAUUGCUGCCUGCUCCUUCCUCUGGAAGCUUUGUCCCUGAGGGUCACCCGCCAGAUGCCAGCGAGAGGUCUCCUCUAUGAGGUGUCUGUCAACCCUUGCUGGGUGGUGUCUCCCAGUCAGGCUACAAUGGGGGUUAGGGACCCACUUGAGGAGGCAGUCUGACCCUUAACAGAGCUUGAACGCUGUCCUGGGAGAUCUGCUGCUCUCUUCAGACCCAGCAGGCAGGGAUGUUUAAGUCUGCUGAAGCUGUGCCCACCGCUGCUUCCCCUGGGUGCUCUGUCCCAGGGAGAUGGGGGUUUUUAUCUAUAAGUCCCUGACUGGGGCUGCUGCCUUUUUUUUCAGAGAUGUCCUGCUCAGAGAGGAGCAAUCUAGAGAGGCAGUCUGGCUUCAAUGGCUUUGCUGAGCUGCGGAGGGAUCCACCAAGUUGGAACUUCCCCUUGGCUUUGUUUACACUGUGAGGGGAAAACAGUCUACUCAAGCUUCAGUAAUGGCAGACACCCCUCCCCCCACCAAGCCCGAGUGCCCCAGGUUGACUUCAGACUGCUGUGGUGGCAGUGAGAAUUUCAAGCCAGUGAAUCUUAGCUUGCUGGGCUCUGUGGGGUUGGGGUCCGCUGAGCUAGACCACUUGGAUCCCUGGCUUCAGCCCCCUUUCCAGGGGAAUGAACUGUUCUGUCUCGCUGGCAUUCCAGGUGCCACUGGGGUAUGAAAAAUACUCUUGCAGCUAGCUUGGUGUCUGCCCAAACAGCUGCCCAGUUUUGUGCUUGAUACCCAGGGCCCUGGUGGCAUAGUCACCCAAGGGAACUUCCUGGUCUGUGGGUUGCGAAGACUGUGGGAAAAGUGUAGUCUGGGCCGAAGUGCACUGUUCUUCAAGGCACAGUCCCACAUGGCUUCCCUUGGCUAGGGGAGGGAAUUCCUUGACCCCUUGCACUUCCUGGGUGAGGCAAUGGCCCACCCUCCUUCGGCUCGCCCUCCAUGCGCUGCACCCACUGUCUAACCAGUCCCAAUGAGAUAAGCUGGGUACCUCAGUUGGAAAUGCAAAAAUCACCCACCUUUUGCAUUGAUCUUGCUGGGAGCUGCAGACUGGAGCUGUUCCUUUUGGCCAUCUGGUCAGCCACCUUUUUUUUUUUUUUUUUUUUUUUGAGAUAGAGUCUUGCUCUGUCACCCAGGCUGGAGUGCAGUGGCACAAUCUCGGAUCACUGCAGCCUCCACCUCCUGGGUUCAAGUGAUUCUCCUGCCUCAGCCUCCUGAGUAGCUGGGAUUACAGGCAUGUGCCACCACACCUGGGUAAUUUUUGUAUUUUUAUUAGAGACAGGGUUUCUCCAUGUUAGCCAGGCUGGUCUUGAACUCCUGACCUCAGGUGAUCCACCUGCCUCAGUCUCCCAAAGUGCUGGGAUUACAGGCAUGAGCCACCACGCCCAGCUGAGCUGUUUGUAUUUAAUAUUGGCAUACGUCUUCGAUAUGAACAAGUUCAUUGUAUAUUAUUUAGGGAAAUAAAGCUGUUCCAGUGAGGGGACUACAGUCAGUGCAAAAAUUUUGAAAAAAAAAUAUGGAAAGUAUUUUGUCCUACAUGUUAGGCACUGAAAUUACAGUUACUAAAUGAGAGGGAAAUUUGAGAUUUAAAAAAAAAGAAAGUAAAGGAAAUCCCCUAAAUAAUGCCUUGCAAACUGAUAGCUGACAUAGAAUAAAAAACUGAAGCAACAAUCAAGUUAAAUAUUCUCUUCCCCAAGGGACACAGGGCACUUUAGAGACAAACUGGCUAUGUUCCCAUAUCAGCCUUGACAUUUUUACUGGACAACCUUAUCCUUCCAGCCUCUUUUGACCUCUCUGUUAAAUGAAGGGAAUAUUGGGUUGAUGUAGAGUUGAAAUGAGAUAGCAAAAGGUGUGAUGCAGUCUUAGUGAUCAUUCUUCCCCUGGAUUCCUUCCUCUUCCAUUCCCCAUUUCUUUUUUUUUUUUCCUUUUUUAUUUUUUUAUUAUCUGAGGCAGAGUCUUGCUCUGUAGUCCAGACUGGAGCACAGAAGCAUGUUCACAGCUCACUGUAGCCUCAACCUCCUGGGCUCAAGUGAUUCUCCCACCUCAUCCUCCCGAGUAGCUGGGACUACAGGUGCACACCAUCAUGCUUAGCUAAUUUUUGUAUUUUUUGUAGAUGUGGGGUCUUGCCAUGUUGCCCAGGCUGGUUUCAAAUGCCUGGGCUCAAGCAAUUCACCCACCUCGGCCUCCCAAAGUGCUGCUAUUACAGGUGUGAGCCACUGUACUUGGCCCCUCCCCCAUUCCUUUCCAACCAAACUGAAACCUCCUCAAAAGGAAGAAUCAAGUCCUACUCUUUUGAGGUACCUGGCACAGUGGUCAGUAGGAUAGGCAGUUAUGGCUUAGUUGAUUUUGAAUUUGCCAUUCUCUCUGCAUGCCUCAAGUUCCUACCCUACUCCCAGGUGAAUUAUCUGAAUAAUUUUUUUCUAACCUUCUCACCUUGCUUAUUAAAAGAACAAAAACAAUCAAUAGCAGAACUGCCAGGAAAGAAAUCCAUGAUAUUAUUUUCUUUGAACAAGAGGGCAGUUGUGAUUGGUGUAGCAAUUUGGGUAGUUUGAUACAGAGGGGUGGAAUUAUGCGGUGGAAACUGUGAAGGUGAGUGCCUCCUGGUAAUGGCUCUUUUCUUGCCUUUUAUACACACAUGGGCCCCAGGAUGAUUAAGGGUGAUGGUAAACUCCGCCUCUACUCAUGUGUCUCUGUCUGUUUCUAGCCAGUGAGUAGAAUUGCAAAAUUUAUUCUCUUUUUCUUUUACCCACAUCUUUUUAGGAUGUUUGCUGGGAAUAAGGGAGUAGAAAAAUAAGGCAAAACCCUGUGCCCACAAAAUAGAGCAAAGCAAACUGUCCCCCAAAGCAAGCGAGUUUCCCAUGGAGUGGCCAGUAGAAGAGCCUCCCAUAUCCUAAGGUUCUGGGGUACAUCUGAUUAUUUUCCUGCUUUUCCAGUGAGACACUGUACAUCACUGCUGUUCACCUGAGAACUAUUCUCAUGAUUCAGCAGAGGAUCAAAACAAGGAAAAGGAAAUAUAUUAGUCUGAAAAUUCUACAAUAGGUAAUUGCACAAGAAUGAGUGGCUUACAUAUCUAUGCAGCACUAGGCUAGGCACAAUUCAAGACACAAGGAAGUCUUAAGAUACGUAUCUAACCCCCAAGAAGUUUAUAGUCCAGUUUUUAGUUUCCAGCCAAGCCUUCCAUGAAGUAUUCCCAAGUGUAGAUAUUGCCUUUGUCUAUUAAUAUAUAUAAGAUGACACAUAAUAUUGUCAAUCUACUUUGAGAAAAAAAAAGUUGUCAAAAGCCCAGAAAUCACUUUGUGUCUGUUUUCUCCUCUCUUGGCAGUCUGAAAUACCAGUGUUGAGUGAUCUACUUACCCACUGCUCCGUCAUACCACUCUAAAACAAUCAAUGGCUCCCUAUUAUGUUACUCAUUAGGUCUCCCUUUUGAAUCAAUUUUUAUUUCCCUUUAGAAACCAUUUUUGAAUCAUGGAUGACAGGUAAAUUGGCAGGGGUGGGGGUUGGUGAGAGACUUAGGUUCCUCUAGUUGUCUCUGGUGUUGACUUUGUUCUAAAUCCAUGCUUCGUAUGCUUUUAAAAAUAGUUUACUUGGCAACAUUUGCAUGUGUGUGCAAGCACACAAGUGCACCCAUGCAUGCAUGUAAAUGAAGCAAUUUCAGAAAAUGAAACUUAUGUGCAGCACACAGUGAUAUUCUCUAUUCUAUUUUAAUUCACGGUUAGUGCUCAUGGCAACCAUCUUUUGACUUUAUUAUCUACUCUGGGUCACAAGCUUAGUGUUUGAAAAAUUUUAUCUAAAGUUUACACUGAGUUUACAUUUAUAAAUUCAUUUGCUCUAAUACUGUGAAGAAUGUAGAGAAGAUUCCAAUAUUAUAAUUCCCCUAUUUAAAAUGAAAGAAAGUAGAGAUGAAUUAACAUGCCUAAGGUCACCCAGCUAAUUUGGGGUCAAAUUUCCAACAUUUCCACUGUGCCAGGUACCUUUCUCCCCCACUCCCAGCCCAGACUCACCAGCACAUUGUUGGAACAAAGAGUGGGUGUAUGAUAUAGUUUGGAUAUUUGUAUUCUCCAAGUCUCAUGUUGAAAUUGAUCCCCCAAUAUUCAAGGUGGGGCCUAUUGGGAAGUGUUUGGGUCACGAUCCUUCAUGAUCCACUUGGUGCUGUCCUUGCAGUAAUGUAUAAGUUUUCACUCUAUUCAUGAAGGAGCUGGUUGUUUAACAGCAUGGCACCUCCUCCCUGCCUACUUGCCACCUCCUCCCACUAUGUGAUACGCCAGCUCCCCUUGUUUCUGCCAUGAGUUAAAGCUUCCUGAGGCCUCACCAGAAGCCAGGCAGCUGUAGAGCCGUGCAUGCUUCCUGUACAGCCUGAAGAACUCUGAGCCAAAUAAACCUCCUUUCUUUAUAAAUUACCCAGCAUCAGGUAUUCCUUUAUAACGAUACAAAUGGACUAACAGUAUAUUAGUUAGGAUUGUUUCAGGGGCAAAUAAUAGCAGGUUCAACUAAAAUGGCUUAAAUAAUAACUAGUUAUUAUCUUAAUAAGUUUCAAAGUAGGGCUGAUUAGUUCAGCAGCUCAAACACAUCUUCAAAGACUCAUGUGCUAUCUAACUUCUGCUUUGCCAUUUUCAGUAUGUUGUCUGUGUAUUCAGAUAGUUCCUUUCGUGGCCUCAAGAUAAUAGCCUAACCAUGACAUCUUUGAAAAUAAUUUCCAAAGCCCCGAAGAAAAAAUGUUCUGUUCUCUCUUUUCUUUGUAAGAGUUGGGGAUAUUUUCCCAGAAGUCAACCUGUGUCUCACUGUCUACUAUUGCAGCACGGCAAGCCUGUCCUAACCUAAUCACUGGCAAGGGUAGAGGAAUUACCAUAAAAGGCUCAGAAUUAGCCUACAGAACUGAGGAGAGGCUGGAUCUCCCUGGAAGACUUGACUUCACACGACCUGAACAAAAUCCCACUUAUGUAUGCCAGGAAUAAAGUGGGGGUGGAGGGUUGGUAAUAAUUAAGUAGGCAACCAAGUGUGUCUUUAAUAACGAGUAUGGAUGAAAAUUCCCAGACAGUGAAGUGUCUGUCUCUUACCCUUCCCGUACCCUUUGUUUCUAGGGAGAAUGCCUGAUUCCUUCAACUUGUAUUCCUGUUCCAUAUUCUUUUCAGCUGCCUUUGGCCCCUUAACUGUCUCGACUCCUGCUUACUUAAUGUCUAAUCUAUUCUAGGCCAAUUCAUGCCCUUCCCACCCAUUCUUCACCAUCAACCUCAUUCAUUCAGGCAAUUACUUACCCACUUGUCUUUCUCUUUUCCUGUUAAAUGAAUACUUGCUAUAUGGCAGACACUGAACUAAGCCCUGGAAAAACAAUGAUGCAUAAGGCACAGUCCCUACCUCUAAUAGCCAAAGGUUGAUUUUAAAUACUUAGUGCACUCCAAUAUAUAUACAGAAAUUUGACAUCUGCUUUUCUGAAUGUACAGGGUGCUCAGCAUCCCUGGAAACAGUCUGAGGGAGGGAUCAGAGUGACAGACUUUAUUUGGGAAGUACAUGCCUUUGGGUAGUAGGGGUGAGGAAAAAAAGGUCAAGGCAAAAUGAAGCAAGUAAGAACAAAGAAAUAAAGGAAAGUAGGGAAAACAUUUCUCUGCUGGCUACUGACUCACAAGGAGCAGCCAAGAGACACUGCAGGUCACUUGGUAGGGCGCUCUUGCUGACAUGGAACUGCAGGAUCAUCCUGAUGGGCUUCAAGGGGGAGGCUAUGCCUCAGAAUAGUCUUGGGAGAGAAGAAAUUAAUUUACUGGCUCCUUCCCAUUUCUAGUUUCCCAGUAAUCAAAGUUAACCCCAUGGAGAGUUACCACCACUGAAUUUCGGGGUUGUGUUAUUUGGCCCUUUGGUGGCCCCUUGUGAUGGUAGAUCCCAAGCCAUCUUGGGGUGGGAUGUGUGGUUUCACCCAGUUAUGAAAGCAGAGGGCCACUCAGCUGUGUGAUUAGCAGAGUGAACCUGAAUGCGGCACUUGAAGACUGAAAAGGUGUUUGAUUUCUGUUCAUUACAUUAAUGGUCUUGCAGGGAUAAUGUGGACGUAAUUUCCUUCUGGUUCUUCUCUCUUUUUGCAACAUUUAAAUCUUUAACCCAUGCCUGCUUGUGAUGCCAUGAUGCCUGAUGGCGACUCCUAAUCCCAGGUUUCCUCUGCUGAAGGGAGCUAAUAGCUGGCUUCACUAUUCCUUUCUUGCUUGAUAGACAUUGGCCAAACAUGGGAUCCUACUGUUCCUCAGACUGCCUGUGGCCCUCACUAGGUCAUCUGUUGUAACUCCUGUAGCAACAAGUAUCCCUUUGAUUAAAUGAAAUACAUUAGAAAGGUGGUUGAGAUUAUUAACUUGCUUCUUAAAAAAAACAGAAAUAGAAAAACACCUCCAUGAUGUCUUGAACAGUGUUUCUCAAACUUUAUGGAGCAUACUUAUCACCUGGAGUCCUUGUUAAAACACAGGUUCUAGGGUCCACCCCUAGAGAGUCUUUUCCUGGAGCCUUGGUCUGGGGCUAGAUUAUAAUCUAACAAGAUCCUAGUUGACGUUAAUGUCAGCUCAAGGACCACAUUUUGAGAAGAGUUGGUGUUAGAGGGGAAAGAAUAGUCAAAUGUUAAUAUCCGGACUUAAUUCCUUACUAGCAGGCAAAAAGGAAUACAUUGAUGUUUAAAAAUUGCACUAUCUAGGCCAGGCGUGGUGGCUCACGCCUGUAAUCCUAGCACUUUGGUAGGCCAAGGUGGGCGGAUCACCUGAGGUCAGGAUUCGAGACCAGCCUGGCCAACAUAGCGAAACCCCAUCUCUACUAAAAAAUUACAAAAAUUAGCUGGACGUGGUGAUGCAUGCCUGUAAUCCCAGCUACUCAGGAGGCUGAGGCAGGAGAAUCACUUGAACUCAGGAGGCAGAGAUUGCAGUGAGCCAACAUUGCGCCACUGUAUUUCAGCCUAGGUGACAGAGUGAGACUGUCUAAAAAAAUAAAAAUUAAAAAUCUCACAAUCUAGUGAGAGAAAGAAUUUUUUUAAAAAAUACAACAUAUUAGGGGAAAUAUUUAUUAUAGGGUUGUGUAUAAAAUACUAAUGGGAAAGGCUUUCCAGACAAAGGUGUAUUUAAACUGGAUCAAGAGGGAUGAGCUGUUUUCCAGGCAGAGAGAUGUAAAGGCAAGGUGUAAAGGCAGCAUUUAGCUGAGGCACAGGGAUAUCUAUGUGGGGUUGAUGGGAGGAGUUGGGGAUGAUUUAGUUUGAUUAGAUCCUUAAGGGCCUUAUGUGUUACGUUAAGCACCAGGAACCUGGUCCUGUGGGGAACAGAAGAUAUCAUCACUGUCCUUGGAUGCUGUAGUACAAAGGGUCCAACUUCCUUCACUUUCUCCCAGUUUUCCUCAAUUGUUUUCUCUCACCUUUGCUUGUUUUCAACUUUUCCAGUCCAUUUAUUAGAUAUUUUAAUCGCUGAUCUCAGCAAUUAUUUUUAGAAUAUAAGUUUUCAAAGAUAUUCUAUGACUACUACAUAAUUCCAUGUCUGCGAAAUCAUGUGGUGUUUCUAGUGAACAUAAACACAUUUACAGUUAAGGAAAACUUAAAAUAUGUAUCCAAAGAUAAGUUCAAUAGGUUUAAAAACCCAAAAUCUGGCUGGGCGCAGUGGCUCAUGCCUGUAAUCCCAGCACUUUGUGAGGCUGAGGUGGGUGGAUCACCCGAGUUCAGGAGUUUGAAACCAGCCUGGCCAACAUGGUGAAACCCUGUCCCUACUAAAAAUACAAAAAUUAGCUGGGCGUGAUGACAUACGCCUGUAGUCCCAGCUACUCGGGAGGCUAAGGCAGGAGAAUCGCUUGAACCUGGGAGGUGGAGGUUGCAGUGAGCUGAGAUCCUGCCACUGCACUCCAGCCUGGGUGACAGAGCAAGAUUCCGUCUCCAAUAAAUAAAUAGAUACAUAUAUACAUACACACCCAAUAUCUUGUUCUUAUUCUUUUUAAACUAAAAAAAAAUAUACACAUAACUGUAGGAAGCUUUCCUUUUCCUUUCUGAUAGACACCUUUGAAAUAUUAACUUGGUCAGAUUCAACCCUUCCUAUGUUUUUAAGAGUGCUAGCCAAUAUGUAUUUUGCUUG